rnacentral:rRNA from 1 species
UACGGAGGGGGCUAGCGUUGUUCGGAAUUACUGGGCGUAAAGCGCACGUAGGCGGCCUGUUAAGUCAGAGGUGAAAGCCCGGAGCUCAACUCCGGAACUGCCUUUGAGACUGGGAGGCUUGAACGUCGGAGAGGUGAGUGGAAUUCCGAGUGUAGAGGUGAAAUUCGUAGAUAUUCGGAAGAACACCAGUGGCGAAGGCGGCUCACUGGACGACUGUUGACGCUGAGGUGCGAAAGCGUGGGGAGCAAACAGG